AUUGAACGCUGGCGGAAUGCUUUACACAUGCAAGUCGAACGGUAGAGGGGGCAACCCCUCGAGAGUGGCGGACGGGUGAGUAAUAUAUCGGAACGUGCCCAGUCGUGGGGGAUAACGUAGCGAAAGUUACGCUAAUACCGCAUACGAUCUAAUGAUGAAAGCGGGGGAUCGCAAGACCUCGCGCGAUUGGAGCGGCCGAUAUCAGAUUAGGUAGUUGGUGGGGUAAAGGCUCACCAAGCCAACGAUCUGUAGCUGGUCUGAGAGGACGACCAGCCACACUGGAACUGAGACACGGUCCAGACUCCUACGGGAGGCAGCAGUGGGGAAUUUUGGACAAUGGACGCAAGUCUGAUCCAGCCAUCCCGCGUGCAGGAUGAAGGCCCUCGGGUUGUAAACUGCUUUUGUACGGAACGAAAAGGUCUCUCUUAAUACGGGGGACUCAUGACGGUACCGUAAGAAUAAGCACCGGCUAACUACGUGCCAGCCGCCGCCGUAA
rnacentral:rRNA from 1 species